rnacentral:rRNA from 1 species
GACGAACCGAGCGAACGUUUUUCGGAAUCACUGGGCGUAAAGGGUGCGUAGGCGGUCUGGUAAGUCCUGGGUGAAAUACUUCAGCUCAACUGGAGAACUGCCCCGGAUACUGCCAGGCUAGAGGGAGGUAGGGGUCGCGGGAACUAUCGGUGGAGCGGUGAAAUGUGUUGAUAUCGGUAGGAACGCCGGUGGCGAAGGCGCGCGACUGGGCCUUUUCUGACGCUGAGGCACGAAAGCCAGGGGGGCAAACGGG